rnacentral:siRNA from 1 species
UCCUUGAUCUUUGACAUUGGUGAC